GUAGACGUCAGGAGACGUGGGGACCGGAUUAUCCUGGUCAAGCUGGUAGUUGAGGACUUGGUUCUCAAUGUUAUCAGCGCGUAUGCCCCGCAAGUAGGCCACAAUGAGAACACCAAGAGGGAGUUCUGGGAAGGCUUGGAAGACAUGGUUAGGAGUGUACCGAUUGGUGAGAAGCUCUUCAUAGGAGGAGACCUCAAUGGCCACGUGGGUACAUCUAACACAGGUUUUGAAGGGGCGCAUGGGGGCUUUGGCUAUGGCAUCAGGAAUCAAGAAGGAGAAGAUGUCUUAAGCUUUGCUCUAGCCUACAACAUGAUUGUAGCUAACACCCUCUUUAGAAAGAGAGAAUCACAUCUGGUGACUUUUAGUAGUGGC
rnacentral:rRNA from 1 species